UCCGUAGGGGUGGAAUUGCUCUCACAACUCUGCCCUUCCUCUCCAGAAACAAAACCCUAACCUCCACCCUAAAUUUUGUUCUCAAAAUCUCAGAGUUGCAUUCAUCAAAAUCUUCUCAAUUUCUCUUUCUGAGACUUCAUCCAAAAAUUUCCACACGCCUCCACCUCUGCAAACCCUAGCCCAAUUCCACCUUUUCGAAAUUAGAAGCAAACCCGGCGAGUUUUGAACAUGUCCUCCCCUCAUCUGUAGCAACAAACCCCUCAAAAUUCACUAAUCUUCUGAUACACACCACAACCACACCAAUUGCACACCGAAGUCCGCAACUUCUUCUAUAAGGUAAAAAUCCCAAGACUUCGUUAACAUCAGAUAAUUCAAAUGGUUCCAUUGAUAACACUGAUGGGUCUAAUUCGGUUUCGGAUGCUAACGAUGUUCAAAAAGUGAAGAUUUAUACCUAUAUCACUUACUGGGAAUAUUUGUUGUACGGGGAAGAAAAUUGCUUCAACCUAGCCCCUACUAUUAGCAUCAGUGAUUGUUGUCUUGAUUCAUGACAGAUCUUAAUUCCCUAAUUCAUGGCUGCCUUGGUUAAUGAUGGUUUCAUUGAUUAUUUUGAGGCAUUUGUUUAUGACUAUUUUGAUUUCUUGGUUCUUGGUUGCUUUAGUUUUGUUACUUGAAAUCAUUAUGCCUCAAAAUACUUUGGCCUCGUGUGAUGGCUUUCUCUGUUUAUUAUCUCGAUGCAUUGAUUCAUUGUAGUAUUGGAUUCGGUUAUUUUAAUUCAUGGUUGCCUUGAUAUCUUGUUGCCUAAUUCCUAAUUACAAGUUCCUGUAAAGUUUCUUGAUUGUUUAUAUAUGCAAGUACAAGUAAAAAGAUGAUUAGGUCACCAAACUUAUGAAACCCAAUAUCUACUUAGAGAACCUGCUUGUGGCGUGCAUCUUGGUUGAAAAGACACAAAAUUAGGCAAAUUCUAUAAAAAAACAAAGGAAAAGAAAAGGAAGAAAUUUGGUGGUAAGAUCUUUAUAGAAGUUCUCACUUGUGAAGUCAUCCAUGGCUUCUACAUGUAGUGUUUAGGUAAUUUUUAUCUUGUGGUGUUACUGGCAAGUUUCAUAUACAAGUAGACUUGUUAUUAAACUCUCCUUCCAAAACGUCAUGUAUGUAUAGGUAAUUAAUGGCUUGCUAAUGAAUUGGACAAUUGUGGAACUAUAUAUACAGGGCAUGCGUACAUGCAUGAUUAUUAACAAUUCUUCUCAGGAAGAAGUUUCUUGUUUCUAGAUUUGGAAUUCAUGGAGCUUUGAGUGAUCAAAGCUGGCUUGCUAUUACCAACAUGUGAAUUCUUCAGCUGCCUUAUAUCCGUGGGCUGCUUCCAUGAACUUUGUCUUGGAAUUGGUGCCACGGAGCAAAUGAAAAUGUGGUAACGGCACAAGAUUCAUAAAGGAGUUAUUCUCAAAAUGUGGAUGUAAUUCAUGGAGAUCAUGUUAUUCCGAAGACAUCAUUGGUACGUGCUUCCAGUGAUUUGGAAAAUGCAUAAGGGAGAGAGAGUACCAUCAUUAAGAUUGGAAGAGACCAUGAGGGAUAUCAUUAAGAAGUUAGAAGGUCGGUUUCCAUGGACGAUUCACGUGGGAACCGUGUUUUAGUUGCAGAUUUUAUUCGCAUGAAUGACGAGUACUCCUGCAUUGCGUUAUGAGUCCAGUUGCAACGAAGAGAUCAUUUUCAAGAAAGAAGAAAACUCAGCAAAAGCCGAGUAGCAAUGGGGUUGGUUUGGAAGAUUGCUUGGUUACCUAUAAUAUCACGAAUAGCACAAGCUUGGUGGACUAAUGUACAUGGUUUUAAUGGUUUUCUGGUUAAAGCUUUCUUUGGUUUAGAUUAUUAUUGUUUUUAAUUAUAAUUGUUCACAUCAAUGCUUUUCUUAGUAAGUCUUAUUCAGGAAUUGUUGGAGUUUUCUGUGAAGCUUUCUUUUCAGUGGAAUUUCAAGAAAAGCAGAGAGGACAUAAAGAAGGCAGAGAGAAAAAGGAAUCAAACUCUAACAAGAAUGUUGCCAAGGCUGCAGCAUGUCAUCACAAAAUGAUGGUUCCCUUUGUCGACCUGCAACAAGGGAAGAGAUGCUAAGUAUAAAAACGAAACAACUCUUCCAAAUGGUACUGUGACGUUGACAAAUGAUGAAAUUGUUCUAAGGGUUCUUGGUCACAAGUCUAGGUAAUUCAAAGGUCCUUCAAAGUCUGUCUCUCUUGAAGACACUAUGUUGGACAAACAUUUAGAAGAAAAACUUGAGACUCAACAACAAGAGCUUGUGACAACAAAACAAGAGCUCGUUGAAACAAAACAAGAGCUUGGUGAAGCAAAACAAGAUAUCCAAGCAUUGAAGGAGAACCAAAAGAAAUUUGAGGAACUCCUACACAAAAUAAUGGAAGGGCAGCAACUACCUCUAUAAGUAGUCCUUUUGUUUUGCUGGAAUAUGUGAAUUUUUUGUGAAAAAAAUGUGAGCUUUCAUAGUUAACAUUAAUUGAUUUUGUAGACUAUGAAUUAUCAUUGAAGCUAUUUUGGUUUUGGACUAA